rnacentral:lncRNA from 1 species
CUAGCUUUAGGCAACCUGGAGUCGUGUUUGCCGUCUUGGUUCUGGAGCUGGGAUCUUGGUUUCUCCCCUGGUGGGUUGCGUGCAUUUUGGGAUCAGAAAUCUUAGCCUUGUGAUGCUAAGCAGUGCUGCUAAUGAAGCCCUAAGGCCUGCAGAGGUAUGAAAAGAAGAGUGUGAAAACCAUAAGUAUUUAGAAGAAUAAGAAUGGAGAAAAGGAACCCGGGAGACAGAGGUUGAAGAAGAGGAUCCAAAGGUUUCCAGAGCUAUUGACCUUGAACCUCCUGCUCUUGAGGGAUCUACACCAAUUUGGUUCGUUUACGUGCCGUCUUGUUGGAGAUGUUUUGUUGUGGACUGUCCAACGGCACCACGGGGCAGGUGCUACCAGGGCGCUGAGGACAUGGGUCACUUAGAUGAGUCCCAGGAUGAUGUUUUGAGACCUCUUAAAACAUAAAAAAAAAAAAAGAAGAAGAAGAAGAAGAAGAAGAAGAAGAAGAAGAAGAAGAAGAAGAACCAUAGGGAAAGAGCAUUGGUUCCAAAGUGAGAAAACCAAGUUGAGUGGCGCUGCCAUUUCAGGCUAUAACAUUUAGGAGCAAGUCAUUCAGACUGAGUGUCAGCUUCAUCCGCCUACCUCGCGGAGUUUGUGUGAGGGUCAAGGGUUUUACAUACACGUAAUACAUGGUGUGAUAUACGCGCACACAGGACGGUAUACAGUUUACUGCAUGCGCAAUGUAUGUAUUGUACGCGUGUAUGUAAUAUUUAUGCAUGUAUGUUACUAUCUAUACAUAAAUUCUGGAACAAUCCAAAGCACUGAAUUUCACGUGUCUCUGGGAUUAUUAUUUUUGAGAUAACAGGGUUCUCCCAAUCCCUGUUAUGUUUAGUUGUGCCAGAGCACGUUUCCAAUGAUGUUUGAAUUUUAAGCGAGAGGCACUGUGAUAUAAUAGCUCAGUUGUUUUAAAUGGACUGUCCCUUCUCCUCUUGGGGAAAAUGAAAGUAACUACGGAAAAUCAUCUAGCAUGCACCUCUGUUUCCAACUUCGAUUUACUGUGGAGCAUAGGAACCAAGAGAAAGCAGAUCACCAGGGGUCUCAUUACAGAGGCGUCCGCUGUCUUCUGGUGGCGCUGGGGUGUGUAUGCAGAGAGCGCGUCUGAGAUGCCUGAGCCCCGUGGACAUAAAAGAAGAGCCAGGGCAGGGACCACUGGCCCCCUCAUUUCUUCUCAACUCGUCCUUCCUGAGGUCAAGAAUUUACUGAGGUCAAGAAUUUAGUCACAGUCUCUCAGAGCCCUUUGUAGUAUAGGCUUUAAAUAAAUAUUUGUUGCUGUUUGUUGGAAUUUGUGGG